rnacentral:lncRNA from 1 species
GCAGGAGGUCUAAUUUCAUCAGUUCCAAUACAAAUAUACAUGUCUUGUUAAUUAGUGACCACUUGUGGCAUUUGGCUUCCUUUGUCCUUUGUUUCUUGAUACAUUAAUCUGGGUGCAGUUUUAACUCCUCCCACUUAGGAGUAUCCCAUUAAGAAGUUGUGUAUUAAAAACCUGUGUAUGCUGCCUUGAGUAUUCAUUUAUCUAAAUGCAGAUUAAGCAGUUAUAGAAUAAUCUUGGCUAAUAGUGCUAAUAGUGUUUUAGCUAAAAACUUGCCUCCCACCGACCCCUCCUUUCACCUUCAAUAUUGCCAUGACAGGGGAAGCAAUCUCAGCAUUAUGUUUAUUGAUUUCAUUUAUGAAAUUUUAUCACUGGU